GUGCCAGCCGCCGCGGUAAUACGGAGGGUGCAAGCGUUGUUCGGAAUUACUGGGCGUAAAGCGCGUGUAGGCGGCUGCCUAAGUCUGAUGUGAAAGCCCGAGGCUUACCCUCGGAAGCGCAUUGGAAACUGGGCAGCUCGAGUAUCGGAGAGGAGGGUGGAAUUCCUGGUGUAGCGGUGAAAUGCGUAGAUAUCAGGAAGAACACCGGUGGCGAAGGCGGCCCUCUGGACGAAUACUGACGCUGAGACGCGAAAGCGUGGGGAGCAAACAGGAUUAGAAACCCCGGUAGUCC
rnacentral:rRNA from 1 species